rnacentral:rRNA from 1 species
AGAGAUUAAUCRUCAUUCCGNGGNGUACGGACGCGCGCUKSGAUGUNRUSGGCUUSGGUSGGSGUGCACGACGCGCGUACGUCGACGUCCGCGGACGGCGUGCACUUCUCUCUUAGUAAAUACAUCGCGACCCGUUCGAYGUCGGUMUAAGCGCCGUUCGGGAGCCCCAUUGUGCCUUCACGGGUAUAGUGGGACCGCGACGGUGGCCGACCGGCCGUCGGACGGUAGUUCUGACGAAACGCGCACGCGUUUACAACGCGUCCGGCCCGACGCAAGUCAACGUCGUAUCUCACGUNACCGCCUCAGCGCGGACGCGGGUGCGGCGCGUCUGCGUAUCGCCGCCGUGCAGUCUCGGACUGUGCGUGUCUCGGUCUGCGAUGAUUCAGUUUCGGGCACUCGCAGGACCCGUCUUGAAACACGGACCAAGGAGUCUAGCAAGUCUGCGAGUCAUUGNGACAAUAAARUAGAAAGGCGCAASRAAAGCGAAGGCKCGCGCUANCCGCGCGCUCASGGAGGAUGCAGC